AUGUAGCAGGGGUGUAGCUUGAUUUUAAUUUUGGAGGGAAAGGGGUCCCUCUUGAUUUAAGUGGCACAUCUGUGCAGCCGACUGGCAAGGCCAAAUGGGAAUCCAUUGUGUCAUGCUUGUGUACCAGCCUUCCCAGACUAUGCAGGGUUUCCAUUAUUUCUUUGCUCCCAGCUGUUUGUUCUAAGUUGUGCCGCUGAAUCACUAGGGUAUGUAAAAGGCCUUGGCAUCAGCUUAAAACCACCAUCUGGAACAGCAGGAUCAUUAAGCCAGCACUGUAAUGUAAAGUGCCUGAAUGCACUCGAAGAUACCCAAAUCAGUGGCCUGGUUUUAAAGCUCUUAAAUAACCAGGGCUCCCAAGGGGACUUCAAAGAAGGGGCUCAGCGCAAAUGAAAAUCAGGCCACUUAAUUAAGUGCCUAAAUCGGGAGCUGGUGCCUAACUUACGCACCAAGGUUGAGAAUGUUGGGCUUUUUCUAGUGGCUGGUUUUCUAGGUGUUGCCACUUUUUGCUCAGCCCAGUAACCCACGAAACAUUUCUCCUUGAAGCUCCUGGCACAGGAAAAUCGAAAGUCCUCUCCCUGGACUAUGCUCUCUCUCUCAGGCACUCCUUAUGACACUGCUGCUGAUCCUAACCCUGGCAGCAUCCUACAAAGUCAACAUCAGCCCUUCAGUUGAUUAGUUUUGCAGCACUUCUGACGGGUUCCCGUUCCCUUCCCAUAUGAACCAGUAAUAACUAUUAAAUAUAAAUUGUUAU